GUGUUUGUUUGUUGUUGUCUUAUUGUCUCCGUGUUUAGUGUAACGGUGACCCCGUGUUUUGUAUUUUAUUAUAGUCUUUGAGUUCAUUGUUUACCAUUUCUAGUCUUUUGGUUUCUAUUCCUGCGCUCCGUGCUCCAUGUUCCUUUUGUCUCCUCUGUCAGCCCUUUCCCCUGUCAAGCCUGCGUCUCUGUUGUUUCCUGUUUUACUUUGACAGUCUGUGUCUUAUGUCAAUGUAUUCUGUUUUGCUUCCUCUCUGUCUCGUCAUGUCUAAUUAGGUUCUGCUAUGUCUCCCUCCUGUUGUGCAUUUCCCUCGUUGCCUUGUGUAUGUAUAUGUAGCACGUUUCCCUCUGUCCUGCGUCGGAUCAUUUGUGUUACUUCUGUUCAUCAUCCCCUGUGUGUCUCCCCCUGCAUUUCCAGGUUUCAGGUUUUUUGCAGUUCUGUUUCCAGUUUCAUGUCUAGCCAUUUCCAGUUUAGGGUUUUCUUUGUAUUCCUUGGUUCCCCAUUUGCCUUGUGUUUUGUAGUGUUUUUGCAAUCAACAAUAAAGGCUCACCUUUUGUUAAACAGUCACCUCUGCCGUGUGUAUCUGCAUUUAGGUCCGCGCUCCCUCCUCUCCACACGGCAGACCGUGACAGUUUAGUAUUUUUCUUGUAGGUUUCUUUUCUCUGAAACAGACCUGUUCAGGGAGCACCUUGCCCCUUACCCUCUGCUCAUUAGCUGGAAAUUCUGUGGGUAGGUCUACUAGUGUCACCAGCCACAAAUGGAUACAAGUGCCAUGUUAUAGAGCAUCUGACUGUAGAUAUCAAUUUCUAGUAAGGACUUCACUUCUAUCUGGUGUCAAGCUAAUGACAGCACAAGCCACUGGGACAGGAGUCAUUCAUCAAAGGUGUUUAAAAGCAAACGCAGAGCGGGAUCCUCUCUUCGCUCAUUAGUUCAAACAAAAUUACUUCUGAGGAGAGCUGCUGGCAGCUAUCAUGCUCGGCUUUUACAGGGUGGCGAAGGCUGGGGGUGCUGAGUGGGAAUGAAUGAAUUGCAUAAAUAAAGACAGUAACCUCCCACUUUGAUGUUGUAAUGUGCCUCAGAAGUGAUGGAUGUUAGGAGUACUCAGGAUUGGGACAGAUACCAGAGAACAAAAUGCUA